UCAUCACCACCAUCACCCUGACUAGUCUUUCAGGCGAUGUGUGCUGGAAGACGUCUAGGAUCUUCCAGUGGUGCGAACGCAAGAGAACCCCCGGAAGAUCGUCUUCCGGGGGUUUUUUUAU
rfam:Pantoea ananatis LMG 20103, complete genome.